ensembl:lncRNA
CGCUCGUAAGUGGGUUACUGCCUCAGCCUGUGCUGAUGUAGGCAUUCAUUAAUUUGAAAGUGAAUCAUGUUUAUCCUUAUUUCCUUGAUGGUAAUUCUUCUUCUGUUAAUGUUUAACCAUCACUCCAGCCAUUUACUGACUAAUUUUUAAAGAUUAAAAUCACAACGUGGCUUAAUGAAGAGUAUGGAGCAGUUUCUUAUCAUUGUGCUUGUGGCAGGGGGAAUUCAUGCUCACGUUUCAGUUGAUGAGACUACAUGUGACCUCAGGACGAACACAUGCCCAUGCUCUCCUCUUCUUAAAGGAACUGUGUAUAUCC